rnacentral:tRNA from 1 species
UUGCUUUAAAGUCAAAGAGCGACGUAAGUCUUGUAAACUUAAGAUUGAAUUAUUCUAGAGCAA